GGGGAAUAUUGCACAAUGGGCGAAAGCCUGAUGCAGCAACGCCGCGUGAGUGAUGAAUGCCUUCGGAUUGUAAAGCUCUGUCUUUGGGGACGAUAAUGACGGUACCCAAGGAGGAAGCCACGGCUAACUAUGUGCCAGCAGCCGCGGUAAUACGUAGGUGGCGAGCGUUGUCCGGAUUUACUGGGCGUAAAGGAUGCGUAGGCGGAUGUUUAAGUGAGAUGUGAAAUCCCCGAGCUUAACUUGGGAGCUGCAUUUCAAACUGGAGAGCUAGAGUGCAGGAGAGGAGAAUGGAAUUCCUAGUGUAGCGGUGAAAUGCGUAGAGAUUAGGAAGAACACCAGUGGCGAAGGCGAUUCUCUGGACUGUAACUGACGCUGAGGCAUGAAAGCGUGGGUAGCAAAC
rnacentral:rRNA from 1 species